GUGGAUUCAGCUAUUAGAAGCACAGCCUUCAGUUCUUCCUACAGAGAGCAGAAAGAAGGCUGUAUGCAGGCGCAGCCAUUUUCUCCUACAUUGGGACUCAAUGGUCAAAAUGGGUUUCCUUUGUUCCUAAAGGGAUCUAAAUCUUGAUUUCAUCAGCCUUUUAUGGACUAUUUAAUACAUACAGUGUUUCUGUUUGCAGGAUCUGAGAAGAAGGAAGAUGAAAUGUUGGAUGAUAUCCCUUUGACAUUUUUACACUUUUUUUCUCUUCCUGGAAACCAUCUUUGUCCCAGCAAACUAGGUCAUGGCACACCCAUAUAACAGUAUUUUAUUCUUUAGUCAAAUGCUACCGAAUAAAAAUUUUGUAUUUUGAUUUUAUAUUACUAACUAGGAUGUUUAGAAAAAGAAAGAAAGAAAAACACAUGAAAAUUGCCAACUGCUUUUAAGGCCCUGCCUUGCUUAGGGCCAAUCAUUAAUCAAUAACAAACAAGGCAGGCCAAAGAGAAAAAAGGACGAUUGGCCUUUUACAAAAAUGCUGAAUCACAGGUAUGGUUGAUAGGGUUUGUGGUUGUUUUAAUGCUCAUCCUAGUUGCGCCUCACUAUUUGUAACCCCACAGCAGAAUUUUUAUCUAAACACAUUUUUUGGAAGAGAAAAAGUACAUUUUAUAUUUAAAUAAUCAUGUGGAAUUCACUUCUCUUUCAUUGUGUGCAGAUUGGGAUUGAUGUAUUCCUGGUUUUACAAUGGAAUGGAAGUAAAUCCCUUUGCUUUUUUUUUAGUAAUGUAUAUCUGACCUUGUGCCAAGGGCAAACCUUCAUUUUAUAACACUACUAGCCACACAACAUCGAACAGAAACUGUUAAAUACGACUUUGAACAUACAUAAUUAUUAAUACACUAGCAGAGAUAUUUACCUUAACAUUUUGUUGAAAUAAAUCUAUCAGGCCUAUACGAUGGAGAAACGGGAAGGUUUUCAUUCCCAUCUUCGGAUCCUUUAACACACUGGCUUUAAAGAUGGGGGGUUGGGUUGCAACGCCUAAAAGGAAGAAAACGACAAUAACCAUUUUCUGCCGUCUUUUUCGACAUAAUUCACCAUUUAACACACAUAUCUGCGCAGUCUCCAGCGAGUGGAGCUGAUGGAAAUCUUGAGGCACUUUUAGAUAUUGCAAUAUGCAAACAAUCCCUCUCUUUCUCUUCCUGAAGACAGAAUGACAAGAGAAAUUCACUCGUCCUUCACCACUGAGAGGGAUUUCCUUUCUCUUUACGAAGGUAAUAGUUUAAACGACCUUAUUUCACACACACAAAAUUGGGAAUGUUUGUUUAAACGUUUUACAUUUAAAGUCACAUUUGCCUUUAAGUACAAUUAUUGUUUCCUCACUGUGUAUUUUUAUUAUUUGUUUAAAAAAUAGACAGAUAAAGGUGUAAAAAUUAUUAUUCUAAACACCUCUCAUUGCUGACCCAUGUCCAGGCGACCUCAGAAAUAGCCUGUUGUUUAAUGGCUUGUCUGCUGUUCUCAUUUUCAACAUGGCGUCUUCACAAGGACAUCAUUGUGGAAAGGAAAGCUUGCUGCGCCAUUUAUGGGCGAGGCUGUCAGUCUGUCGGUUUCUACUGACUUUGCCUUUUAAUACGUGGCUAUCAUUGCAAACAAAUCGACAAGAUGUGCUCGCUCUUUAAGAAAGCAGGAUAUUGCACAAAAACUCGCAUUCAUUUCUUGUGCGUAAAGCGCGCCCUCGACGCUAAGCUCUGGAAACCCUGUGGCACAAAGCACACAGCAGUAAUCUGAGAGCUUGGACGCCUGCCGCGAAAUGACUGCACCCACCUAACCAUUUAAGGUCGGAGAAAGAGUCUCAAACACUGUGUGGCAUUUCAAUCAGCAAGUACAAAGGGAAUAUCCAGUCCUCUGUGCUCUCUCUCUCGUCCCCCUUUCAAGAACAUUCGGCGCAGUUUAUUCGCCAGCCAUUUCAAAGGAGCAUUUGACGUGAUGCAUGCAGGAUUUGCGCACUGCUUAUAGCUUUCUCAGAUCUUCUGCUGAAUUUAUCACACUGUUGCAACACAUACCGGUAUGUGGUAUGCAAAUCGUCGUGUGUUCGCACAAUUUAUGGUAGUGUAAAUCUUCUCAGUUUAUUCGGAUAUUAUUAAUUCCCAAGUAAAUCAUCAGUGGAAUUUGAUUUUAUUAUUUUUUAAAUCUCUAUUUCCCCUUUUUCUGUGCGUUUUGGGGCGACGCCAAUUCCAAUUUAUCAAGCAGAAUUGUAUUGCGCAAGGAAACGCGCCAUCUGUUUUCCGCGGUUAGGAUUCACGCUUGGUCUCUGCAUGCACACCAUUACUAUUCUGUCUCUCUGCCAUAGUCUAAAGUAGGACUGGUGUCUGAAUAUGCUAGAAAAGAAGGACUGGAGACGUGGUGACCGAGGCUGAAGUGGGUCAUGAGGCCAUUUUAGUGCUGUUUAAUUAGGAAAAUCCUCUUUAUUUUCGUAUCCUCCGAACGUAAGCUGUUUCUAAGGGCAGGACAGAAGGGCUAAAACCAGAUCAUCAGUUUAUAUAUUUUAGCUAGUUGCAUUUUUUCUCUUUCAACUCUAUGUAUAGAGAUGUGCGCUUUCAUUUCUGUUCUGGAUAGCUGGAGAGGAUCUUCGACAUUAAUCAUAGGCUAUAAAUCUCAUAGAUCUUUAAGUAGGCUAUAUUUUUAUUUUAUUGGGAACAAUUCCCAGCACUAUAGCAAAAAAAAAAAUACAUUUUUUAAAAGUAUUCUGUAGGCUUUUUUAAAAUAAUUUUUAAAACGUUAUGGAAACAUGUGAAAUAUUGCUUAAUGUAUACCAUGUCUGUCUUUAUUGUCUAUUAAUGCCAUUUUAAUGUCAAUCCACAUGAAAUCCGAGGAAAAGCAGCUGAUCCAUACACUGUUCUCAUUUGCAUUUCUCACGGUGGGUUUUUCUCUUAUUUAUUAACUAUAAUAAAUGUGGAUUGUAAUCUAUUUUGUGUAGUAUGUAUGCUUGCAAUAAAAUGCUGCACUGACCUGCUUUUAUAUCGUAGCCUAAUAAAGACUUUGUGCUUGCAUAAA